rnacentral:lncRNA from 1 species
AAGGCCAGUGUUCCAACUUCACCUCCAUCCUCACCCAUACCUGGAAAGGAUCAGGGUAUUGGUAUUGGAGUAGUUCUAUCUCCUUCCUCAGUGGCGCCAGCUCCAUUCACUCCUCCCGUGAAAGAUCAAUUAGUUAGUGGAACUGUUCCUUAUGCAUCUCAGGCUACUCCACCCAGAACCCAAGGUCCUCCAAUUGAAUCCUUGAAGGAUGACAGGCCUACCAGUACAUCUCAACCAGAAACAUAUCUGCUUCCUCCAGCGGAGCAGCAGCCAGCUCAUGAAGGGGAACCUGCUUCACCUCCUCAUGUUACUGAAUCAUCUCUAUCUCCUCGCCCCAUGACACCAUCACCGCACACUCCUCCCAUGAAGGAUAUACUAGUCACUGGAACUGUACCUUUAGCAUCUCAGGCUACUCCACCCAGAACCCAAUAUUCUCCAAUUGUAUCCUUGAAGGAUGAUGGACCUACUACGUCACAAUCUGAUGCACCUCAGCUUCCUCGAACAGUGCAGCGGCCAGCUUAUGAAGGGGAAUCUAAAUCACCU